AGCAGUCGCCGCGGGAAUACAGAGGGUACAAGCGUUAAUCGGAAUUACUGGGCGUAAAGCGCGCGUAGGUGGUUCGCCAAGUUGGAUGUGAAAUCCCCGGGCUCAACCUGGGAACUGCAUCCAAAACUGGCGAGCUAGAGUAUGGUAGAGGGUGGUGGAAUUUCCUGUGUAGCGGUGAAAUGCGUAGAUAUAGGAAGGAACAUCAGUGGCGAAGGCGACCACCUGGACUGAUACUGACACUGAGGUGCGAAAGCGUGGGGAGCAAACAGGAUUAGAUACCCGCGUAGUCCCUGUCUCUUAUAC
rnacentral:rRNA from 1 species